GACGAACGCUGGCGGCAGGCCUAACACAUGCAAGUCGAACGAGUGGCGGACGGGUGAGUAAUGUCUGGGAAACUGCCUGCUGGAGGGGGAUAACUACUGGAAACGGUAGCUAAUACCGCAUACCAUCAGAUGUGCCCAGAUGGGAUUAGCUAGUUGGGGGGGUAACGGCUCACCAAGGCGACGAUCCCUAGCGGGUCUGAGAGGAGGACCAGCCACACUGGAACUGAGACACGGUCCAGACGCCUACGGGAGGCAGCAGUGGGGAAUAUUGCACAAUGGGCGCAAGCCUGAUGCAGCCAUGCCGCGUGUAUGAAGAAGGCCUUCGGGGUGUAAAGAACUUUCAGCGGGGAGGCGUUACCCGCAGAAGAAGCACCGGCUAACUCCGUGCCAGCAGCCGCGGUAAUAC
rnacentral:rRNA from 1 species